UACGAAGGGGGCUAGCGUUGUUCGGAAUUACUGGGCGUAAAGCGCACGUAGGCGGAUAUUUAAGUCAGGGGUGAAAUCCCGCAGCUCAACUGCGGAACUGCCUUUGAUACUGGGUAUCUUGAGUAUGGAAGAGGUUAGUGGAAUUGCGAGUGUAGAGGUGAAAUUCGUAGAUAUUCGCAGGAACACCAGUGGCGAAGGCGGCUAACUGGUCCAUAACUGACGCUGAGGUGGCGAAAAGCGUGGGGAGCAAACACGG
rnacentral:rRNA from 1 species